ensembl:miRNA MIR1470 microRNA 1470
GCCCUCCGCCCGUGCACCCCGGGGCAGGAGACCCCGCGGGACGCGCCGAGGUAGGGGGGAC